GCCCAGGUGCUGAAACUGGUAGACAGGCCAGACUAAGGAUCUGGUGCCGGAAACGGCGUGGAGGUUCGAGUCCUCUCCUGGGCA
rnacentral:tRNA from 2 species